GGGUUGCACGGGAGGGUGGACAAGACGGCUAGUAGAAGAAAAAGUUUUUAAAAUACAUUUAGCUUUAUGUUCCGGGCAGUGGUGGCGCACGCCUUUAAUCCCAGCACUUGGAAGGCUGAGUUCGAGGCCAGCCAGGUCUACAGAUAUUGUUGUGAACAUCAGGGCAGCAGUUCUGGUCACCUGGAUUUAUAAACACCAAGAAGUAGCAACAGCCAGUGUGCAUGUCACUGACAACCCGAAUCACCAAAAAUCUUACUGAGAACCCAUUAGCUCCUUGAAUUAAAGAUUCUUUUGUGAAAAGAGGCUUGAUUGUCUUGUUCUGCACCUGAAAUAAAGCGUUUCCCAUUCUGUUUUAAAAUAUUUACUCUGUAACACGUGUACAUAAUUUUGUUUUUAUAAUAAAAAAGUAGUGAUACCAAAAUAUGGGACAA
rnacentral:lncRNA from 1 species